AUGAACGCUAGCGGCAGGCUUAACACAUGCAAGUCGAGGGGCAGCAUAAUGGAUAGCAAUAUCUAUGGUGGCGACCGGCGCACGGGUGCGUAACGCGUAUGCAACCUACCUUUAACAGGGGGAUAACACUGAGAAAUUGGUACUAAUACCCCAUAAUAUCAUAGAAGGCAUCUUUUAUGGUUGAAAAUUCCGAUGGUUAGAGAUGGGCAUGCGUUGUAUUAGCUAGUUGGUGGGGUAACGGCUCACCAAGGCGACGAUACAUAGGGGGACUGAGAGGUUAACCCCCCACACUGGUACUGAGACACGGACCAGACUCCUACGGGAGGCAGCAGUGAGGAAUAUUGGUCAAUGGACGCAAGUCUGAACCAGCCAUGCCGCGUGCAGGAUGACGGCUCUAUGAGUUGUAAACUGCUUUUGUACGAGGGUAAACGCAGAUACGUGUAUCUGUCUGAAAGUAUCGUACGAAUAAGGAUCGGCUAACUCCGUGCCAGCAGCCGCGGUAAUACGGAGGAUUCAAGCGUUAUCCGGAUUUAUUGGGUUUAAAGGGUGCGUAGGCGGUUUGAUAAGUUAGAGGUGAAAUUUCGGGGCUCAACCCUGAACGUGCCUCUAAUACUGUUGAGCUAGAGAGUAGUUGCGGUAGGCGGAAUGUAUGGUGUAGCGGUGAAAUGCUUAGAGAUCAUACAGAACACCGAUUGCGAAGGCAGCUUACCAAACUAUAUCUGACGUUGAGGCACGAAAGCGUGGGGAGCAAACAGGAUUAGAUACCCUGGUAGUCCACGCAGUAAACGAUGAUAACUCGUUGUCGGCGAUACACAGUCGGUGACUAAGCGAAAGCGAUAAGUUAUCCACCUGGGGAGUACGUUCGCAAGAAUGAAACUCAAAGGAAUUGACGGGGGCCCGCACAAGCGGAGGAACAUGUGGUUUAAUUCGAUGAUACGCGAGGAACCUUACCCGGGCUUAAAUUGCAGUGGAAUGAUGUGGAAACAUGUCAGUGAGCAAUCACCGCUGUGAAGGUGCUGCAUGGUUGUCGUCAGCUCGUGCCGUGAGGUGUCGGGUUAAGUCCCAUAACGAGCGCAACCCCUACCGUUAGUUGCCAUCAGGUGAAGCUGGGCACUCUGGCGGGACUGCCGGUGUAAGCCGAGAGGAAGGUGGGGAUGACGUCAAAUCAGCACGGCCCUUACGUCCGGGGCUACACACGUGUUACAAUGGUAGGUACAGAGGGCAGCUACCCAGCGAUGGGAUGCGAAUCUCGAAAGCCUAUCUCAGUUCGGAUUGGAGGCUGAAACCCGCCUCCAUGAAGUUGGAUUCGCUAGUAAUCGCGCAUCAGCCAUGGCGCGGUGAAUACGUUCCCGGGCCUUGUACACACCGCCCGUCAAGCCAUGGGAGCCGGGGGUGCCUGAAGUUCGUGACCGCAAGGAGCGACCUAGGGCAAAACUGGUGACUGGGGCU
rnacentral:rRNA from 1 species